AUUGAACGCUGGCGGCAUGCUUUACACAUGCAAGUCGAACGGCAGCGCGGGCUUCGGCCUGGCGGCGAGUGGCGGACGGGUGAGUAAUGCAUCGGAACGUGCCCAGUAGUGGGGGAUAGCCCGGCGAAAGCCGGAUUAAUACCGCAUACGACCUGAGGGUGAAAGCGGGGGACCGAAAGGCCUCGCGCUAUUGGAGCGGCCGAUGUCGGAUUAGCUAGUUGGUGGGGUAAAGGCUUACCAAGGCGACGAUCCGUAGCUGGUCUGAGAGGACGACCAGCCACAUUGGGACGGAGAACCGGCCCAGAUCCCCACGGGAGGCAGCAGGGGGGAAUUUUGGACAAGGGGGGAAACCCUUACCCAGCCAGGCCGCGGGCGGGAAAAAGGCCUUCGGGUUGUAAACCGCUUUUGAUGGGGAAAAAAUCCUCUGGGCUAAAACCCCGGGGGGAUGACGGUACCGGAAGAAAAAGCACCGGCUAACUACGU
rnacentral:rRNA from 1 species